rnacentral:lncRNA from 1 species
GCUCUCCUGGAACCAGGGCCCAGAAUCUCCUCUUCAGGGCAGGGGCAUACCUCUUGCACAGCUGAGGAGGACUUGGUCGCUUUUAGAACAAAGCUGCAUCCUGGUGGUGUUCCUAUGAAUACCGGGGUGUAGUAUUCAUCCAUAUUGCUUUAAAUGGCUGUGGCUGAGGUAAUUGUGUCAGGGUCCCUUUCCAGACAGCUGAAAGAAAUAGACAUUUGUAGGGGUUGGCUGACCUGACCUUUUUUCAGACAUCUGUUCUUGGAUAAGAUGAGUAACAUCCUAAAUACACUAUCCAUCAACUGCUAAAAUAGUUGAGAUGUUCUACCUUAAAAGUAGGCAGCUAGUUCAGUUAAACUAGAUCCCCAACCUCUCUCAAUGACUUCAAUACUUUGUGAAGGAGUAAGUGCCCUCUCUAGCCUGAGUGCAUUCAAAGCCACAUUUGGAGAGGUCCCCUACCAGAGGGCUGCACACCUCCAUACCUCUGAUGGAAACUGCGCUGCUCUGUGUAAAAGCAUACAGAAUGCACAGGCCAGUGAUCUGAUGGACUCCAGCAAAAGUCAAGGCAGGAGUCCUGCUGCAGCAAUCAACACUUAAGUUCAGUUUUCAUUAUAAUGAAAACUGCUCCCUGUCUCUCACUGCUUCUGGAGGAGUAGUGAUCCUGGCAUUCUUAGCACAGCCUUCAAAGCAAAUCAUGAACUUGUCACAGUUCACCUCUUGAACCACACUGCUGCCAUGCAGCAUGGACAUGCAUGGUGGUGUCCUAAGGUACCCAGAAUGCUUCAGCAUGCCAAUCACCAACUGCUCUACAAGAUACAGCCAUGCCAGGAGCAUGUAUACAGUUUCAGAAUAUGUUUACAUGCUGUGUUGAAAAUUAUGCAAUCUUAAGAUAUUUCCAUGCCUAUCUCCCCUGCCAUUUAUACCUCUUGACCCUAAAUCAGCAGUCCAGUGUAUUCUCCAUUUAGUUACCUCCUGCUCGAAUCCCAUAGUACAUUGUACCAUUCUAUAUUAUGUGUCAAUAAAAUUGGUUGCAGGAUUUUUUAUGAAAUAUAU